rnacentral:rRNA from 1 species
GUCUAUGGCCAUGCCACCCUGAACACGCCCGAUCCCGUCUGAUCUCGGAAGCUAAGCAGGGUAGGGCCUGGUUAGUACUUGGAUGAGAGACCACCUAGGAAAAUCGGGGGCUGUAGGCG